UUAAUUUCAUAUAUCUUAUUUAUAUUCAUUUUUAAUUAAUUAUUCGUCGCUGAGUUCUACUCUUCCUUAUAUUUCAUCUUUAUAUUUAAAUGUGCGCGGCAGGCGUCACAAACCUAAUAUGACCUUCAUCAUACAUAUUAUUAAUUUUAUUAAUUAUUAUAUAUUUCUCAUCUGAUUCUCAUCAUAUACAGUCAUGUCACAUGUUCAUUUCUUAUAGGCCAUUACAAGUUUGGACUACCGCCACCAUUUAAUGACAAAGACCACAGAGCUGCAAUAAAAUUGUCCAAAACUUUAGCUCAGGGGUGCGAUGAAAAUCAACAUGAGCAAAACAGAAAAAUACACGAAAAUAAAACAAGGGGAAAUUCCAGAGAGAGUAAAAGUUUCAACUGCAGUUGCAGCAUCGAGUGCAGCCAGCACACUUUAAUUUGAAUCGAAAUAAAAUUAAAAAGAAGAAAACACAUAAACUGCGUAAACAAGUGGGUAAAAACGGCGAAGGAAGCAGUAAAAGUUGCGAAUAAAAACUGGUAACGCGAAAAGUGAAACUGGCUACGGUGGAAAGUUCCAGCUAGUUGUUGAUGUUCUUGCUGUUGACGCUUAUGGGCGACGCAAUGGCGACACAAAGUUCAAGGUCGGGCCAAAAGAGUGGUGCCACAGAGUCUAAGUUUUAUGAUGGAGCCUCUUCGCUGGUGUCCUUAAAAUCCAAUAAUUGGCCAAUGUUCUUGGGCCAAUGGCCCGCGCUGGCUAAUGAGAAUCCUUCGGAAUUUUUCUCGCAGAUUUGAUUAAUGGCGGUGGCCUAUCCAAUAAGUGUCAAUUACUGAGGACGUUUAGGCAACUGGCAACAGCACACACUUUGCUGUUUUUUCCUUACCACAUCACCGUGCCUCCCUCAAUUACCUUGUUGUUGCUGUAAUUUGGCUGGUAACGACAUCUGACAGGGCUAACACGCCUCCAAGCCCAAGACUUUAAAAUAAAUUUCUAGUCAAUUCUGUUGUCGGUUGUCUGCUGUCUGCGGUAUUUUUAUCAUGCCAAUGACGUACAACAAAUCCCCUCAAUUCUAGAGGUGGGGUGGCCAUUGGGUGUAACUUUGGGAUUUAUCUCAGGGGAUUUGCUAUUUUUGUAUUCGAAUUAAUGAGUUUUUUUACCUUAAUUUUAAGGAUUGUCUUAAGUAUUCUCAAUUUCGAGAAACUGUAAGCCCCUUAAUUGAAGCACUAUAAAUUAUUUGUACUCUUUCAGAAAGCAAUCCCCUAACUGAGAAGGUUGAACAAUUGGAUUUAUUGGAUUUAUAGGGGAGUUCAGCGUGCCCCUUUGGCUAGCAGUUGAUAUCCAAAUGGGAAGUGGCACUCGAAGCACAAGGUCACUGCGGCCACCUGACUUUCGUUGAUUGCCCUCCAAUCACCAUAAACCAACAACCAGCAGGCGGUAUAAUAUCCAUCAUUAUGGCAGGGCCACCACCAUCCCUCAACAUUAUUAGCCCAAAAUGUAUGCAUUAUGUUUUAGACCUCCUUCCCCUCUCCCGCCACCGAUGAGGGGGUGGGUGAGGGGCAGACGUCUCACCGGCACAAUGGAGCAGACAGGAAGCUAGCGACAGACAAGUGCUGGAAGGCACGGGAAAGGGGGUGGGACUUUCCCUUCGUUUUAGACCUUCCUGCACCUGGUCAACCCCACUACGCGGGGUCUUCAAAGCGCCAGUGAGGCAAAGAUAAACACACGUUAAACUCAAAGUGGAGAGCCACGACUCCGAGGUACCAUGGACUACAAAAUAAAAGAGUUAACAAAAACUCGGGUGGAAUAGAGUCCCCUUUACAUAAUUAGAAAUAAGUGACAUAAGUAUCUCGUAAAAUGUCAUUUAAUCAUAAGUGUAUGUGAAAAUCACACCAAAUGCAACAUACCCCUACAAAUUACAGGUACCCUCUAAAAUAAAACAAAGGAAUCAGGCGAAGAAUGGGAAAACGACACAAGAAGAGCGAUGAGGAAAUUGCGAGAGACGUGUAAGAAAUUAUAACAAGAAACAUUUAUUUUUAUUAAAGCCAGGACAUGGCAGGUGGUCAUGGUGAGAGGUGGUGAGGGGGAGGCUGAGGAGUUAAGGUAAAAGGAUCUGCUUUCGCAGCAAGUCAUACACAAAGUGAUCUCAUAAUCAUCUGCCGUGUGUAUUUUGCUUGGCAGCGAUGCCAAAACGCCAAACAAGGCGCAUAAUUUUUACACAGGACCUCCAGUCCCCUGUCCCCCCAUUCUGCCACAUUUUCCCCGUCUUUUCGCUACGCUUUUCUGACUGCAGCCGGAAAAGCGAGGAAAUGCUGCUCCUCCUGCUGCUGCUGCUGCCUUCGCCGUUAAGUUUCAGCGCGUGUCUGUGUGCAGAUUAAAUGUUUGUCGUAUUCUUUUGGAGAAAGGCGGGUAUUAGCCCAGUUGAAAGGAGCGCAGUUAGGGAGACGGCGGGCGGUAUAUGUGUGCACAGCCCAAAGGACAUCAGUUUAUUACGGUUUAUUAGUGAGAAGACAGGCAUUUCUCUCAUCCCCAUCCCAUCAACGAGGUUGCCAGUUGAGUAGGCAUGUUGCAGGUGAAAACUCUCCCUUUGGCAUUCAGCCAAGAGAUACAAAGACGACAAGGAUAUAAGGAUAUAUGUAAGGAUGGAGCCAGGAUAAAAUCCAAAUUGUUAUAUCAUUGGCGCAGCCAUUUUAGGAAAUGCCUUAUCAUUUAUCUAUAGAAAUUCAGGUAUUGCUUUGUUUACUGUGCGCCAAUCAGUGCGAUGAUAUCGAUGAAAUAAGAGCAGUAACUAACUGACAAGUGGCUCAAAUUAACUUUAAUUAAUGUAGACGACUCCAUGUGCAAUGAGUGCUUUAAUGCAUUCAAAGUAGCUUUCUUUUCACUGUCUUUUUUCUGCUGGUAUUAGCCCUUUGUUUCACCAACUUCCCAGCUCCCAGCUCUCUCAGCUCAACAUUUGCAGACCGAAUUCGUUCAGCUUCCGGGUCUCAAUAAUUACAGCAGCAUUGGGCGCCAUUAUGCUGCAUAGUUAAACACACAACUGGCUUAAGUAAUUAGAAGUCGAUUACACAGACCGCGGGCGGCAUUUAUGCUGACUGGAGCUGGAGGUGGUUAAGGAUUUGGCCCGCCGAGUUGCGAACAAGUCGGAAACAUUUCGAGCGCAUUCAAAUGAAGGGGAGAACUGCAGCUGCAAGUCGGCUUCGAGCAGAAAUCCUGGCAAUUAAAAAGGACUAAGAAAGUACACAAGUGGAGGGCGGCUAGUCGGCGCCAGGACGAGCAGAAAUAAAAAGCGAAAUGAAAAUAAAGUCGCCCUGACAGUUGGAAAAUGGCCAGGAAAACCAGGAGGGCUGCCACCAAAAAGGUGCAAACAGAACCGCAGAGGAACAAAUUGCCGCGAGCAUUGCAACAAUUAGUCGAAGUCUGUGUGCCCCCCACAUGACCCAAAACAAUCCGGAAAAGUUAAAAUAUUUGCGCACACACACGAUGGUGGGGGUUUGUGGAGACCGCGUUCAGAGACCACGACAAAUUGCCCACAAUUCGUGCCUAAUUUUUUGCAGACAACUCUUUCGCUGAGCUGCGCCAUUUUUCGCGUUACUUAAAGUGCUGCUCAGCUUGGGCUUGAAAAAUCGGCUGGGAAAACCGUUUGGCGCACUCCGGGCCGCUCUGCACUUUGGCUAAUUGAAUGCGUGAUGCCAUUGCCAUUGCCAUUACAGACUGCGUGCAAUGUUCCCGGCUUUGUUGGAUCCUGAGAGCCUCACGACAGCCGAGGAAAUCUGGAAUCUGAGGAUGAAAAGCCUUGACGGCGGCGAGUACUUUUCGCUCUUCUCGUAAAUCUCCUCGUCCUUACGCCCCUCGUUCUUUUGCCAUGAGCAUGACAGACAGUUCACAGUUCAAGCAACUUUUUGUGAGCCAGCCAGGUUAAUCAAAUUUGGAGGCAGCCUGGGACAUCUGCCAUCGGAAUUUUCGGUUGAGCGGGCCAAAUGAAAUGCAUAAAAAUAGAGCGACUUUAAAGCAGGGCUUAAUACACACUUUAAAGCAUGUGCAAUCCAAAUCCAAACCAAUCCACUGCAUAUUUAAGCAUCAAUCGAUUGAAUGACGAAACAUAUAGCAAAUAGUAAAAUACUUUUAUUUGACUUCCAACAAACCACUUUGAACAAUUAAUUCUUUAUGUAAAGCCAUUAAGUAAUCAAUUAGAUCAAGCGAGUUUCUCAUCUUUAAUGCAAUUUCGCCUCGCAGAAAAAUGAAAUACGUUGUUGUCCCAAUGUUUCUCUGUGGAAAAUGGGAUUUCCAACGUAUUGGCCGUGGGCCGAAUUCAUAGAGAUGGAAAUGCCCGGUGCCGAAAAGCUUUUAUCAGAAAACACUAGCCAAUCAAACAAAUAGGCAAACAAAUCUGCAUCAAAAUAAAUUCAACUUCUUGCCACUCACUUUUUGUCCGUUUUGCAUUCUUGGCGGAUGGACGGGGAAUGGGGGGGUAAAACAACACAACGCUCGGAAAAUGACCAAGGGCGAUUGGGAAAACUGUGUGAGGAACUCGAGAGUGGAAAAUUCGAGCGAAUAAAACCAGAAACAACUUUGAACUGAAAACGUUUCCUUUUGCCUUUUUGGCAGCAGCACGGCAAGCCAAGUGCCCACACAAGGAAAUGGAAAACACAUCAAAGGAUUGUGUCCUGGAAACGGCUGUUUGUCCAUUUGAAUGUGGGCGUGGUGAGGUCAAUCAACGCGAUUGAAAAGUUUUUCCAUUAGAUUUAUGUUAUAAAUAAACCAGCGAUGCCAAUCAAUUCAGCUGUCCAAAUCGCUCCUACUUAGCGGCGAAAUUAGUUUGAAAAUUCAAUCCCAACCCCAACGAACGACAGUGGCGAGUAUGUCGAUUUUUCCCCGUCAGCUACUUGCAUUUAAAUUGACAAACGCCAUUCAAUGCAGACAUCGUAACUGGAGCGUGGUUUGGUUGAGGUGACUGCCAUUCGAAACUUUGCGAACAUGCGGCCAGUGUGUUAGAAUUGCAGAGCGGGGAGUUGCUUCGACAUCCCACAUGACAUCAUUAAAAUGCAAAACGCAAAUUGCAUCCAUGGCAGUGAAAUUGGCGAGGCAAACAAACUGUGCGGAAUGUCGAAGGGGUCGGAAGCUGGAACCAAUCGAUAAGCCAGCCAGCUUGGGAGGGAUUUGAACACUGAUCUGCUGCGACAUGACUGCAAAUGGGAAAG